GGGUUGCUAACUCAACGGUAAA
rnacentral:tRNA from 1 species